rnacentral:rRNA from 1 species
ACGGGUGAGUAACGCGUGGGAACGUGCCUUUCGGUUCGGAAUAACUCAGGGAAACUUGAGCUAAUACCGGAUACGCCCUUCGGGGGAAAGAUUUAUUGCCGAAAGAUCGGCCCGCGUCCGAUUAGCUAGUUGGUGUGGUAAUGGCGCACCAAGGCGACGAUCGGUAGCUGGUCUGAGAGGAUGAUCGGCCACACUGGGACUGAGACACGGCCCAGACUCCUACGGGAGGCAGCAGUGGGGAAUAUUGGACAAUGGGCGCAAGCCUGAUCCAGCCAUGCCGCGUGAGUGAUGAAGGCCCUAGGGUUGUAAAGCUCUUUCGCCAGGGACGAUAAUGACGGUACCUGGAUAAGAAGCCCCGGCUAACUUCGUGCCAGCAGCCGCGGUAAUACGAAGGGGGCUAGCGUUGUUCGGAAUCACUGGGCGUAAAGCGCACGUAGGCGGAUCUUUAAGUCAGGGGUGAAAUCCCGAGGCUCAACCUCGGAACUGCCUUUGAUACUGGAGGUCUCGAGUUCGGGAGAGGUGAGUGGAACUGCGAGU